GGACUCCCCAAUGAGGUCACUCAGAAUCCAGGGGCCCUUUCAGGCCUUUCUCCUGGCCCCACCCUCCCUCUCAUCUAAGCUCUCAUAGGGAUGGGGUUCCCCUCAGGGGGAUGAGGAUCUGCUGGGCUGGUCGGCCUGGCCCUGUUUUUCAGGAAUUCCUCCUGGAGGCAUUGAUGGUGACAUCCGAGAGCACUGACGGUGACCAUGACAAAGCUGGGAAAAGGGCCUUGGGAGCCAGCUGGCCUGGUCCCAGCAGGAGGUAUCUGGGUUGAGGCCUCAGCACCAAGCGCUGUCCCCAGUUUCACGCCCGGCAUCAGCCCACAAUGGCUCAGCUGUCUCGCUAGCUGCCCACUGGACCUGGAACCAGCAGCUCCAGCCCAAGCACUCAGGCUGGUGAGUGUCUGGAUUCCAGACUAUGGGCACUGUCAGACAUGGAGCCCCCAGGAAAGAACUGGAACCUCUGGAGUAGGGAGACACAGUGCUACUGCUGUGGGCUUGGGAGGCUCCUGGAGGUUCUCCAGGCUCUCCAUCUACAAAGUAAGGCAAUGCCUCUACCAACCCUGAGUCCCAUGGGUGAGGGCAACCAGCAGAUUCUUGUUGCAACUGCCAGAGGGAAGGGUCUCUUUGGCCUAAGGAACUAAACAGACCCCCAAACACCUUGCAAGCACUGUGGGCAGCAGGAUGAUCUUGUGCCAGACCAGGCUAAGUGCUGACCAUCUGCCUGGCCUUGCACUGGAUAAAGUGGGACUGCCCUACAUGGUCCUCAACCAGAGGAAGAUGAAUUUCAGAAAGAAAUUCAAAACUUGUUCCUGGUUGUCAAGUGAAGACAGGGGCGAUGGCCACCCUGGGCGGGCCUUGAGCAAGAGCUCCAUAUAAUGCCUUAGAGACCUGUUCCUGUCCUACCACUCCCAGCAAGAGCAUCAUCCGUGCCUUUGGAGAUGACCUUGCUCUGGGCUGGCUGCUCAGAUCACCAGAGAGCCCCAGCCCCAGGUCUGGAAGUUACCACAGGGCAGCCUCCGGCAUGUCAGUGGCAGGACAACAGGCAUGUCAGGAAUCAACACAGGAUGCCCCCUUAUCAGGUCCAGCUCUUGGCAUCUCACCUGGACACUGCAGAAGCCAGGAACGAGGCACAGAUUCCUUGGUCAUCACGCCACGCAAAGGAGGAAGUCACCAGGUCCCAGUAAAUAUGCAUGGAACAGAAAUAAGGUCACUGCAAAACCACCCGCUCCCCUCACCCCAAGGCUUUGUUCAUAACUCAAGAUGUGUCCCACGUCGGGCAUUUCUGUCAGAUAAACUGGUUCCUCCAUCCAGUGAGCAGCCACUUUCUAAGCUGUGGUGGCUCUGGGAUACUGGGGGAGCUGCCAUCUUGGGACUCUUCAGGACUCCACGGUUACCUUUUCAAGUGGCUCCCUCACAUUAAACUAACUGUUGGUCACUGUACAAGCGUGGGCCCCACCCAGCGGGGAG